GCAGUAGAAAUUUUUCUUCAUUUUUGCUGGGUUCCUGGAUGCUAUCAGUGAUGUUUGAUUUUGUCCUGGUAGAAGCUAUUGAAUAUUCUUUUGGCCUCAGCAUCAGCAGCUUGCCUUCAGGAUUGAAAAAGAGCUUUGGUGUUCAGUUCAGCAUUGCUGCAUGUGCAGAAUACCUUUUACCCAGACAUUCCCCUCUCCACUGUAAUAAUAUGUUAUUUAACAUGGCAGAAACUAUGUUAUAAGCAGCUAGAUGCACAAUAACACACUUGAAUAUGCAUUGAGAUUGGCGCCUAUGAUUAAAAUAA